ensembl:lncRNA
GGGAUAUCUUCACCAGACAUCAGAUCUGCCAGUGCUUUGAUCAUUGACUUCUCAGCCUCUGGAACUGUGAGCGAGCACAGGCUCUAGGCGAGUGGGCUGCAGUAGUGGCGCUUGCUGGCUCAGUAGGUGUGGCACAUGUGGUCUCUUGCCCCGAGGCAUGUGGGCUCUUCCUGGACCAGGGAUUGAUCCCACGGCCCCUGCUUUGGCAGGCAGAUUCUUAACCACUGAACCACCAGGCCAGCGUGAAGCGUCGGUAGGCAGAGCCGGCUGCGCCGCGAGCACUUGCUCCUGCCAGCCCCCAGCCCCCGCGUUCCCGGGGGGCCUCCCCACCCAUCCUUCCCGGCGGCGGAGAGACAACAGCUACGCAGAAGAGCAGCCUGGCCGCGGGUGGGAGGCUCUCCUCGCGGCUGGCGAGGCACAAUGUGGAGAUUUUUUCAUUCAUAAAACUAGCAGCCAUGGUCGCUGCGUUCCCGCCUGCCCCUCGCCGCCCGCUCGGGGGCAGGGUAGGCCUGGGUCCAGGGAAUGGGUUACGAGGGCCAACGGGCAUAGGUGGCUCGUCUUCGCGUUUCUCCAGGAAGUCCCAUUUCAUAAAUCCCGUGCGGGGUCCUCUCUCUAUUAGACGACUGACAUCGAUCGUGCAGGAGCCCUCUCGAUUGAAGAGACAAGAUGGCUUGUGGUUUUGAUCCAUAAAUAAAACCUCACCCUUUGACUCCAGGUUGUCCGACAUCUUGCUGCUGCAUUUUUCGGUCUAUCAGAUUUAGGAAGCGACUGUCAACCGUGCUAUCGCUGCAUUUGUAAACAACUGGCUUUCUAGGAUCCUGUUUUUACCCUUUUAUGGUGGCGGGUGGGAGUUAAGGGGGA